rnacentral:misc_RNA from 1 species
CUCCANGANGNAGCGACCGACACCUGACGACGAUCAAAUUCCCACCGCGCGUCGUGACGCUUUGGGCGUCCUUGUUUCGGAUUUUUGCCUGCCGCGUGCGGCAACCACGGGAGACCASCUUCCGUCCCUUAUCCUCGGAAGGAUGGGGGGACGAAUAUUUGUGACACCCAGGCAGACGUGCCCUCGGCCAGAAGGCUUGGGGCGCAACUUGCGUUCAAAGACUCGAUGGUUCACGGGAUUCUGCAAUUCACACCAGGUAUCGCAUUUCGCUACGUUCUUCAUCGAUGCGAGAGCCGAGAUAUCCGUUGCCGANAGUCGUUUUAACUUUAGAUCACGGUGCUGCGACCGCACSAACACCGUCUCCGGGUCCGCGCAGACGCUUUCCGUUUUGUUUUAUGUUCCUUGACACUUUUCGUGCCGGGGUUUUGUGAA